GACGAACGCUGGCGGCGUGCUUAACACAUGCAAGUCGAACGAAGUGGCGAACGGGUGAGUAAUGCGUAAUCAACCUGCCCAUCAGAGGGGGACAACAGUUGGAAACGACUGCUAAUCCCGCAUCCUGAAGGAGGGGAUUGCGUCGGAUGAGCUAGUUGGAGGGGUAACGGCCCCCAAAGGCGAGGAUCAGUAGCCGGGCUGAGAGGGUGAACGGCCACAUUGGGAAUGAGACACGGCGCAGGAGCCGACGGGAGGCAGCAGUGGGGAAUCUUCCGAAAUGGGGGAAAGUCUGACGGAGCAACGCCGCGUGAGUUAUGACAGCCUUCGGGUUGUAAAGCUCUGUUCAGCGGGACGCGGUACCCGAAUAGAAAGCCACGGCUAACUACGUGCCAGCCGCCGCGGUAAUAC
rnacentral:rRNA from 1 species